UCUGUAGCGUAAUGGAUAGAGCGUUGGACUUCUAAUCCAAAUGUCAUGGGUUCAAAUCCCAUCUAAAAAA